GUAGCUGCGAGCGAACAGGGAUGAGCCCAGCACCGAAUCCCGCGGCCGACACCGGGCGCCGGGAAAUGUGGUGUUAGGGAGGGUCGCCUCCCGAGAUCGUGCGGCGCGUCCAAGUCCAUCUUGAACGGGGCCACAGCCCAUAGAGGGUGCCAGGCCCGUAGCGACCGCUGCCGAUCGCGGGAUGAUCUCUCCUUAGAGUCGGGUUGCUUGAGAGUGCAGCCCUAAGCGGGUGGUAAACUCCAUCUAAGGCUAAAUAUGACCACGAGACCGAUAGCGAACAAGUACCGUGAGGGAAAGUUGAAAAGCACUUUGAAGAGAGAGUUCAAGAGUACGUGAAACCGUUCAGGGGUAAACCUGAGAAACCCGAAAGGUCGAAAGGGGAAAUUCAUUCGCGUUUCGAUCGUCGGCGUGAGGCGGUCGAGUGACGAAGGGCGUUCGCGCGCCCGACGCUCCUUCCGUUUUUCGAACCGGCGUCGAACGCGUGCACUUUUCCCCUAGUAGGACGUCGCGAUCCGUCGGGUGUCGACCUAAGGCCCGCGGUGGAGCCCGAGCGUUCGGUUCGCGCCGUUUCGCUCGGACCCGCGGUGUUUCCCGGUCGACUCGCUCGACGGUAUACAGAUGGCGCGGGGCCGCUACCUCUCAGUUAGCGUUCGGCCCGCCGCAAGCGCGCCGGAGUGUCGAAGAUCGGACCUGGUGCCGGUCCCGGCCCCCGGUGACUGUUGGCGGCGGUGAUCUCGGACAGACCUCGUUUCGAAACGCCGAUCUGCGACGCUAUAGCUUUGGGUACUUUCAGGACCCGUCUUGAAACACGGACCAAGGAGUCUAGCAUGUGCGCGAGUCAUUGGGAAAUAACUAAACCUAAAGGCGCAAUGAAAGUAAAGGCCCGCCUCGCGCGGGCCGAGGGAAGAUGGGCGGUUCGCCGUUAAAAGUGACCGCUCCGCACUCCCGGGGCGUCUCGUUCUCAUUGCGAGAAGAGGCGCACCAAGAGCGUACACGCUGGGACCCGAAAGAUGGUGAACUAUGCCUGGUCAGGACGAAGUCAGGGGAAACCCUGAUGGAGGUCCGUAGCGAUUCUGACGUGCAAAUCGAUCGUCGGAACUGGGUAUAGGGGCGAAAGACUAAUCGAACCAUCUAGUAGCUGGUUCCCUCCGAAGUUUCCCUCAGGAUAGCUGGCGCUCGUAGCGCACGAGUCUCAUCCGGUAAAGCGAAUGAUUAGAGGCAUUGGGGUCGAAACGACCUCAACCUAUUCUCAAACUUUAAAUGGGUGAG
rnacentral:rRNA from 1 species